ACUCGUCUAUAAUUCCACAGCAAAGCUCUAUAGUAUUUCACAUCACUUGGAGACUGUUUUUUUUUUGAGAAAAGAGACUGUUUUUUUCCUUUAAGAUGUUUAUACCGAUAAGAUAAACACAUCUUAGAUCCAGCAGUUAUAUGCUUAACGUAGUAUCAUCAUUUUUUAAAUAUUAAAAAAGUAGAGGUAGAAUGAAGUUUGGAAGAAGAUAUGCAUCGGAUGAUGCUCUUUCGCAUGAGAUGUGCAGUGAACACGCUAGUAAUUGCUGCAAAUGCUACGAUAUCUCCGAAAUUUUUUCAACCGAAACAAGACAGGCUACUUCGCUAUCAAAGCAAUCUUCCGAGUGUGUGGAAACUGAUAUUUCAACGGAGCCAUCUAAGUCUUCAUUGGCCUCUGAGUUCACAAGCUCAUCUCUCAUUAAAACAAGGAUCAAGUGGACAGCCGAUCUCCAUGACAAGUUUGUAGAGUGUGUCAAUAACCUUGGUGGGCCCAUGAAAGCGACACCAAAACAGAUACUGAAGCUAAUGAGAACAGAUGGAUUGACCAUCUACCAAGUCAAGAGCCAUCUUCAGAAAUAUCGAACGCAAAAACAUGUUCAAAAUUCCAUACAAGAAACAAGUUUCAAAGGACAGGAGGCUGAUAUGGAGGGUUCCGGAAUCAAAGAGUUUAUGAGAUUGCAAGAUAAAGUAGGGAAACAUCUUCAAGAACAAUUAGAGAUCCAAAGAGGAUUAUACCUGCUGGUUGAAAAGCAAAAUAAAAAAACUCCACGAGAUGAUUACAUAUCAAAAACGAAAGAACUAGUAAAUACAGUAAAUUUUCAUCUCUCCCAUGAAGCCACAUAGGAUGCCAGCACAUAAAUUAGUCUCACCAGGUCUUGACACGUCACUUUUCAUUAAACGCUGCGAAUUGUGUAAUUAAGGUGGGUUGUGGGCUUUGUGUUUCGUUACUUUAUCGUGCCCCAGGCCCAAACCUAAUCACUCACGUCGUUUCACAUCUCUUCCUCUUCAAUUCCUCUGAGCGAUGAUGCUGCGGUGGAGGCGAUUAAGAUCUGUAACGGAUAUAUAAAAAUGGCGAUUCCAUUCCCUCAGAUAAAUCUUUGGAUUAUGGUGCAAAUUUUUACCACAUGUUGGGAUUUGAUGAUGAUAAAAUGAAAGAGCGCAUGAGGCUUUACAUCACGAUCCACAGUGAUCAUGAGGGUGGAAACGUUAGUACUCACACUGGUCACCUGGUCGGUAGUGCACUUUCAGAUACGUAUCUGUCAACCGUUUAGUUGGGCCACUCCAUGGUUUGGCUAACCAGGAAGUUUUGCUUUGGAUCAAAUCAGUUGUUGAGGAAUGUGGAGAAAACAUAUCGAAAGACCAGUUGAAAGAAUAUGUCUGGAAAACAUUAAACAGUGGCAAGUGAAGCCGCAGCUUCGGCCAUUAAUGGUGGCGAAAGGAAAUCUUGGUGGCGGAGGAGGGACGUCAUCACUUGGCGCUGGUGGUGGUGGUGGUCUGGGUUGGUUUGCGUUACGGGCGCCUGCACCUCCUACCAAGUUCUCCAACGACACCGAGGGGCUAUAAACAGCAUAAUCUGUUAGUGCUCAUAACAAACGUGUCAUUGAUAUAGGGAUUGUGGACCUUCUAACUAAUAAGCUAUUGAUCGAAAAAAAAUCUCAUGUAAUAGUUGACAUUUCUACAGUCAAAAUUAAACUUUACAUAUUAGGUGUAUAAUUAAUUAAUUAUGGAGAAGUUUAUAUGUUGAUA